GUGAGUGUAGCUCAGCUGGUAGAGCUCCGGAUUGUGGUUCCGGCGGCCGCGGGUUCAAGUCCCGUCACUCACCCCA
rnacentral:tRNA from 1 species